UAUUCCUUUAACACUGUCCCGUGAGGCAGGCAAGGAGCGACAAAGAAAAAAGUGCAGGAACAACUGUACUUAUAUUUUGUGAAAUCUCCUUGUAUGAGGAGAUUUUUUCUUA
rfam:Streptococcus mutans TCI-243 contig00026, whole genome shotgun sequence.